CAUCCUCCAAGGCUAAAUACUCCUGACUGACCGAUAGUGAACCAGUACCGUGAGGGAAAGGCGAAAAGAACCCCGGCGAGGGGAGUGAAAAAGAACCUGAAACCGUGUACGUACAAGCAGUGGGAGCACGCUUAGGCGUGUGACUGCGUACCUUUUGUAUAAUGGGUCAGCGACUUAUAUUCUGUAGCAAGGUUAACCGAAUAGGGGAGCCGAAGGGAAACCGAGUCUUAACUGGGCGUUAAGUUGCAGGGUAUAGACCCGAAACCCGGUGAUCUAGCCAUGGGCAGGUUGAAGGUUGGGUAACACUAACUGGAGGACCGAACCGACUAAUGUUGAAAAAUUAGCGGAUGACUUGUGGCUGGGGGUGAAAGGCCAAUCAAACCGGGAGAUAGCUGGUUCUCCCCGAAAGCUAUUUAGGUAGCGCCUCGUGAAUUCAUCUCCGGGGGUAGAGCACUGUUUCGGCAAGGGGGUCAUCCCGACUUACCAACCCGAUGCAAACUGCGAAUACCGGAGAAUGUUAUCACGGGAGACACACGGCGGGUGCUAACGUCCGUCGUGAAGAGGGAAACAACCCAGACCGCCAGCUAAGGUCCCAAAGUCAUGGUUAAGUGGGAAACGAUGUGGGAAGGCCCAGACAGCCAGGAUGUUGGCUUAGAAGCAGCCAUCAUUUAAAGAAAGCGUAAUAGCUCACUGGUCGAGUCGGCCUGCGCGGAAGAUGUAACGGGGCUAAACCAUGCACCGAAGCUGCGGCAGCGAUGCUUAUGCGUUGUUGGGUAGGGGAGCGUUCUGUAAGCCUGCGAAGGUGUGCUGUGAGGCAUGCUGGAGGUAUCAGAAGUGCGAAUGCUGACAUAAGUAACGAUAAAGCGGGUGAAAAGCCCGCUCGCCGGAAGACCAAGGGUUCCUGUCCAACGUUAAUCGGGGCAGGGUGAGUCGACCCCUAAGGCGAGGCCGAAAGGCGUAGUCGAUGGGAAACAGGUUAAUAUUCCUGUACUUGGUGUUACUGCGAAGGGGGGACGGAGAAGGCUAUGUUGGCCGGGCGACGGUUGUCCCGGUUUAAGCGUGUAGGCUGGUUUUCCAGGCAAAUCCGGAAAAUCAAGGCUGAGGCGUGAUGACGAGGCACUACGGUGCUGAAGCAACAAAUGCCCUGCUUCCAGGAAAAGCCUCUAAGCAUCAGGUAACAUCAAAUCGUACCCCAAACCGACACAGGUGGUCAGGUAGAGAAUACCAAGGCGCUUGAGAGAACUCGGGUGAAGGAACUAGGCAAAAUGGUGCCGUAACUUCGGGAGAAGGCACGCUGAUAUGUAGGUGAAGUCCCUUGCGGAUGGAGCUGAAAUCAGUCGAAGAUACCAGCUGGCUGCAACUGUUUAUUAAAAACACAGCACUGUGCAAACACGAAAGUGGACGUAUACGGUGUGACGCCUGCCCGGUGCCGGAAGGUUAAUUGAUGGGGUCAGCGCAAGCGAAGCUCUUGAUCGAAGCCCCGGUAAACGGCGGCCGUAACUAUAACGGUCCUAAGGUAGCGAAAUUCCUUGUCGGGUAAGUUCCGACCUGCACGAAUGGCGUAAUGAUGGCCAGGCUGUCUCCACCCGAGACUCAGUGAAAUUGAACUCGCUGUGAAGAUGCAGUGUACCCGCGGCAAGACGGAAAGACCCCGUGAACCUUUACUAUAGCUUGACACUGAACAUUGAGCCUUGAUGUGUAGGAUAGGUGGGAGGCUUUGAAGUGUGGACGCCAGUCUG
rnacentral:rRNA from 1 species